rnacentral:rRNA from 1 species
UACGUAGGGUGCAGGCGUUAAUCGGAGUUACUGGGCGUAAAGCGUGCGCAGGCGGUUUCUUAAGUCAGAUGUGAAAGCCCCGGGCUUAACCUGGGAACUGCGUUUGAAACUGGGAGACUUGAGUGUAGCAGAGGGGGGUGGAAUUCCACGUGUAGCAGUGAAAUGCGUAGAUAUGUGGAGGAACACCGAUGGCGAAGGCAACCCCCUGGGUUAACACUGACGCUCAUGCACGAAAGCGUGGGGAGCAAACAGG